rnacentral:misc_RNA from 1 species
UACUGGCAGGAUCAACCAGGUAACAGUGAAGAACAAGUUUCCUCUUCCCCGGAUCGACGAGCUCUUCGACCAGCUUCAGGGUGCUCAGUAUUCCUCAAAGGUGGACUUGAGAUCGGGAUAUCACCAUCUUCGAGUCAGAGAGCAGGAUGUGCAUUAGACCGCAUUUCGUACUCGUUACGGACACUAUGAGUUCCUUGUGAUGCCAUUCGGGUUGACGAAAGCGCUGGCAGUGUUCAUGGCUCUGAUGAACAAGAUCUUCACCCCAUACCUCGACAGUUUCACAGUGGUGUUCAUCGAUGAUGUAUUGGUCUGCUCCAAGUCCAGUGAGGAGCACGAGCAACAUUUGAGGACAUCUCUACAAUUGUUGCGCGACAACCAGUUGUAUGCGAAGCUCAGCA